rnacentral:lncRNA from 1 species
CCCCGUAAUUAUAUUUCCAUGUAAGUAAAGGCUUAAACUGUUGAAUUUCUGCCCAGGAAACUCUACAUCUAGAAAAUCUGCCGAGGAACCUGAGUCGAUGAGGGUUCUGCAUCCUGCGCCCAUCUGGGAACUGUAGCAGCGUGAGUCUAGGAAUAGCCAGGGGUGGUGGAGGCCCUGCAACUGGCCCCUUUUGCAGUCCUGGGGUCCUCACGGGAAUUGAACAUUAGGAAAUUCUGUAGGUAGAAUGAAUUUGGCAGUGUAAUGGGUGCAUGUUGCUCUUUUGCAUAAGAUACACACAUUUGUCGGAUGUUGGAUUUCAAACACACACACACACACCCCUCUAGACCUGAUUCUUGAGGGCCUCUUAUCUUAGGGAAAAUUUGCAUGUCUGCUUAAUUUUGCUGGUACAGUGUGCUCCUCCCCACGUGAAAGACAGUGAAUGUGUUUAUCUACUGUAACAUGCUUCCACCUACCAGGAAUGUCACUACAGCUAACCAUAGUACAUCCACUAUUCUCCUGUGUUUACAUGUGUGCAGCACUGUAUGUUGGGAAGAACCACACAAAAAUAAGCUUAAAACCAAACUAUGUGAUCAAAAGCAAGCAGUGGCAGAGGGAAACUGAACAAGAACAAAUGGAAGUUAAAGCAGGAUCCAUUCAAAUGAGAAAUAAGGCACCAAUUGUCACCAGUGAGAGCAAUUAAUCAUCAAGACAAGCUGCCAUUGGCUGGAGGAAGCGAAGAGAGAAUAGUUCCCCUUAACUUGAAGCCUUCUGGUGAAUUAUAGACUCCCUCCAUAAAACUAGAAACAAAUGUAGUAGGUUGAUUUAGUAAUAAGCAAAAGGAAUUCCCAAGCAUGUAGGAGAAAGAAAGGGAGAGAAGACUGUCUCAAGGGGAUUAUUUGCCGUUUUGACCAUUAAUCUAAAAGAUGAGGAGAAAAUUGGGGGAGUGGGCAGGGAACGAGAACAAUGCUGCCGAGAGAUGCUCCCAGUCAUGCGAUUUGUGUUGUAUUCCAAAUUUUAUAUGCAGAUUCCUCCUCCCCC